rnacentral:rRNA from 1 species
UACAGAGACUGCAAGCGUUAUUCGGAUUCACUGGGCGUAAAGGGUGCGCAGGCGGCCAAGUGUGUGAGGCGUGAAAGCCCGGGGCUUAACCUCGGAAUUGCACCUCAAACUACUUGGCUAGAGCAUUGGAGAGGGUAGCAGAAUUCACGGUGUAGCAGUGAAAUGCGUAGAUAUCGUGAGGAAUACCAGAGGCGAAGGCGGCUACCUGGACAAUUGCUGACGCUCAGGCACGAAAGCGUGGGGAGCAAAAGGG